AAAGGAAUUGACGGGGGCCCGCACAAGCGGAGGAACAUGUGGUUUAAUUCGAUGAUACGCGAGGAACCUUACCCGGGCUUGAAAGUUAGUGACUUUAGUAGAGAUACUAUUUCCCUUCGGGGCACGAAACUAGGUGCUGCAUGGUUGUCGUCAGCUCGUGCCGUGAGGUGUCGGCUUAAGUGCCAUAACGAGCGCAACCCCUAUCUUCAGUUACCAUCAGGUAAUGCUGGGGACUCUGGAGAGACUGCCACCGUAAGGUGUGAGGAAGGUGGGGAUGACGUCAAAUCAGCACGGCCCUUACGUCCGGGGCGACACACGUGUUACAAUGGGCGGUACAGAGGGUUGCUACCUGGUGACAGGAUGCUAAUCUCAAAAAGCCGUUCUCAGUUCGGAUCGGAGUCUGCAACUCGACUCCGUGAAGCUGGAUUCGCUAGUAAUCGCGCAUCAGCCAUGGCGCGGUGAAUACGUUCCCGGGCCUUGUACACACCGCCCGU
rnacentral:rRNA from 1 species